UACGGGGGGGAGCAAGCGUUGUUCGGAUUUACUGGGCGUAAAGGGCGCGUAGGCGGCCACCGCAAGUCGACUGUGAAAUCUCCGGGCUUAACCCGGAAAGGUCAGCCGAUACUGCGGGGCUAGAGUGCAGAAGGGGCAACUGGAAUUCUCGGUGUAGCGGUGAAAUGCGUAGAUAUCGAGAGGAACACCUGCGGCGAAGGCGGGUUGCUGGGCUGAGCACUG
rnacentral:rRNA from 1 species